rnacentral:rRNA from 1 species
AACGAACGCUGGCGGCAUGCCUAACACAUGCAAGUCGAACGAGACCUUCGGGUCUAGUGGCGCACGGGUGCGUAACGCGUGGGAACCUGCCCUUAGGUUCGGAAUAACUCCCCGAAAGGGGUGCUAAUACCGGAUAAUGUCUUCGGACCAAAGAUUUAUCGCCUUUGGAUGGGCCCGCGUUGGAUUAGCUAGUUGGUAGGGUAAAAGCCUACCAAGGCGACGAUCCAUAGCUGGUCUGAGAGGAUGAUCAGCCACACUGGGACUGAGACACGGCCCAGACUCCUACGGGAGGGAGCAGUGGGGAAUAUUGGACAAUGGGCGAAAGCAUGAUCCAGCAAUGCCGCGUGAGUGAUGAAGGCCUUAGGGUUGUAAAGCUCUUUUACCCGGGAUGAUAAUGACAGUACCGGGAGAAUAAGCUCCGGCUAACUCCGUG